CAAAAACAAUAUAUUUUUAGAUUUUUCCAAAAGAAUCGUGAUCUCAGUGACAUAUACGUGGAAGAUGGAAAUGGAGCCCACAACUCUGCAGUGCAUCCUGAUGCCGCGCUGACCUGACGGCUUGUGCGUGUCCCUUUGGCUGCACCAGUGAGCACAGUGGCAGGCGUGUCAGAGAAAGGGCCCCUUCUGCAGACGGUCUCUCACCAUUGCCGACCACGGAAUCCCAGAACCGCUGAGCUGCCUCGGGAAGAACCAGCAGGUGUCUGCAUCGUUGAGUGUGUUCUGAUCCAAAGGUGGGGACUGCACUCCGAGGGGGCCAUAGAAAAGCUCAGUGGAGCUGCAGCCAGGCGGCGG
rnacentral:lncRNA from 1 species